rnacentral:rRNA from 1 species
UACGAAGGGGGCUAGCGUUGUUCGGAUUUACUGGGCGUAAAGCGCACGUAGGCGGGUCGUUAAGUCAGGGGUGAAAUCCCGGAGCUCAACUCCGGAACUGCCUUUGAUACUGGCGACCUUGAGGCUGGAAGAGGUUAGUGGAAUUCCCAGUGUAGAGGUGAAAUUCGUAGAUAUUGGGAAGAACACCAGUGGCGAAGGCGGCUAACUGGUCCAGAUCUGACGCUGAGGUGCGAAAGCGUGGGUAGCAAACAGG